rnacentral:rRNA from 1 species
CAGCCGCCACGGUAAUACGUAGGUGGCAAGCGUUGUCCGGAAUUAUUGAGCGUAAAGGGCUCGCAGGCGGUUUCUUAAGUCUGAUGCGAAAGCCCCCGGCUCAACCGGGGAGGGUCAUUGGAAACUGGGAAACUUGAGUGCAGAAGAGGAGAGUGGAAUUCCACGUGUAGCGGUGAAAUGCGUAGAGAUGUGGAGGAACACCAGUGGCGAAGGCGACUCUCUGGUCUGUAACUGACGCUGAGGAGCGAAAGCGUGGGGAGCGAACAGGAUUAGAUACCCGAGUAGUCCCUGUCUUUUAUAC